rnacentral:rRNA from 1 species
GACGAACGCUGGCGGCGUGCCUAAUACAUGCAAGUCGAGCGGACUUUCAAGAAGCUUGCUUUUUGAAAGUUAGCGGCGGACGGGUGAGUAACACGUGGGCAACCUGCCUGCAAGACGGGGAUAACUCCGGGAAACCGGGGCUAAUACCGGAUAAUAUCUUCCUUCGCAUGAAGGAAGGUUGAAAGGCGGCGCAAGCUGCCGCUUGCAGAUGGGCCCGCGGCGCAUUAGCUAGUUGGUGAGGUAACGGCUCACCAAGGCGACGAUGCGUAGCCGACCUGAGAGGGUGAUCGGCCACACUGGGAAUGAGACACGGCCCAGACUCCUACGGGAGGCAGCAGUAGGGAAUCUUCCGCAAUGGACGAAAGUCUGACGGAGCAACGCCGCGUGAGCGAAGAAGGGCUUCGGAUCGUAAAGCUCUGUUGUCAGGGAAGAACAAGUACCGUUCGAACAGGGCGGUACCUUGACGGUACCUGACCAGAAAGCCACGGCUAACUACGUG